rnacentral:sRNA from 1 species
GUGAGCCACCGUGCCUGGCCUCGGCCUGGUAACUCUUAAGUUUUGCACCUUGAUGGUGACUUUAAGCCUUCAGGCAGAACUCCCAGGUGCUAAUCCGUCAGUCCUUGGGGCAGUCAGGCAGCCGAAGCCUGAGCUCACCACCUUCAGACACCACCAGCCUCCUUCAGAUGCCCAAGGAUGCCUGACAAAUGUCAUUUUCUACACAUCUUAUGAUGUGAGAAGGAUUGAGAAGUACUGACCAGAGACACAGCUACAUCCCUCCCUUCCACAAGCUGCAAUCAGUGGAUAAAAAAGAAGAGUUUAAUAAGCAUAUCCUGACCUUCCUAAAGUGUAAUGUUGCAUAAACAUAAAGAUUCUGGCUGCCUCUGGUGCUUAGAAUCUAUGUCGUGUAGGCAGGGCACAAUGAUUAUUAUACUCAGUUGUAUCCUUGGCUGCCUAAAGUGAUGCCAGGCCCUUGGCUCUGUCCAGAGUUCCUCUUGAGGAAAAUGACCACGCUCAGCUGCUGCCUUUGUUCUGUUUGGUUUUCAGACGAAAACAGCAACCAGAGUUCCGUGUCUGACGUCUAUCAGCUUAAGGUGGACAGCAGCACCAACUCAAGCCCCAGCCCCCAGCAGAGUGAGUCCCUGAGCCCAGCACACACCUCCGACUUCCGCACGGAUGACUCCCAGCCCCCAACGCUGGGCCAGGAGAUCCUGGAGGAGCCCUCCCUGCCCUCCUCGGAAGUUGCUGAUGAACCUCCUACCCUCACCAAGGAAGAACCAGUUCCACUAGAGACACAGGUCGUUGAGGAAGAGGAAGACUCAGGUGCUCCGCCCCUGAAGCGCUUCUGUGUGGACCAACCCACAGUGCCGCAGACGGCGUCAGAAAGCUAGCACCGUCCCGGCCCUCCGCCUCCUGGCCCUGCCUCUAUUUAUUGCAUUCUGGUUCUGGCCGCGCUGCGUUGCUGGGGUAAGGGCAAGCACUGGGGUCAAGAGCCUGCACACAUGAGCCUUCCGGGCUGGAAGGCUGGCGUAGGACUUGGGGCUGUAGCAUCAUCUUCCCGACCCUGGCACCUGUGUCUACUUGCUCCCGAGAAGAGGAGCGCUCAUGUCUUUUUUGCACCCCAAGUUGGCUGGAGCAUCGGCCACCCCAAGAUUCAUCUGUGACCUCCAGGCAGCAGUCUCUGCUCCAGAACCUCUGGACGGAGCUGCUGGCAGCUUCUGCGAGAAGAGAGAGAUGUGGAAGGCACCCUCUAGAAGAGAGUGUGCCUCAGGUUACUUGAACUUGAAUGGAGACUGUAGACUCCCGGACUUUCCCCUAGGACUGGGGGCCCUGUAGGCUGCUGUUGGAGAAGGACUGGGUAGAGACAUUGGAGGGAAGGGAAGGGCUUUUCUCCACACAAGGGCAGAGAGUCCGUCUAGAUUUCUUGCUGUCCUGCCAGUUCUGCCCAUGCCUGAGGUGGUCCUACCUCUCACGGGCACCCUAGCUGCUGACAGCCCUUUGUGGCCGCCGUCCCCAUCCCCUGCCCUCAGCACACACGUCCGCACACACGCAGCUUUCUUUGUUCUCACCUCUACCUGUCAUUCCAGCAUCCCUGCCUCCUGUCACAAACUGCCCCAGCAAGAAUUUGAGGUUCUGACAACAGUACCCAUCCCCCACAGUACCCCUUCAGCUCAGUUUCUAGAAAGCUCCCUUUUCUUUGAAAUCUGCAUGUUGAAUUGAACUUUGUGAUUUUAUUUUUUGUUUCAAAAAAGUUUAAGAAAAUGGAAAUGGGCAACAGUGAGUGAAGACAUAUUUUAGCACUGAAUAGAAUAUUUUUAAAAUUAAACUAUUUGAAAUAUG